GACGAACGCUGGCGGCGUGCCUAAUACAUGCAAGUUGAGCGCUGAAGGUUGGUACUUGUACCAACUGGAUGAGCAGCGAACGGGUGAGUAACGCGUGUGGAAUCUGCCUUUGAGCGGGGGACAACAUUUGGAAACGAAUGCUAAUACCGCAUAAAAACUUUAAACACAAGUUUUAAGUUUGAAAGAUGCAAUUGCAUCACUCAAAGAUGAUCCCGCGUUGUAUUAGCUAGUUGGUGAGGUAAAGGCGCACCAAGGCGAUGAUACAUAGCCGACCUGAGAGGGUGAUCGGCCACAUUGGGACUGAGACACGGCCCAAACUCCUACGGGAGGCAGCAGUAGGGAAUCUUCGGCAAUGGACGAAAGUCUGACCGAGCAACGCCGCGUGAGUGAAGAAGGUUUUCGGAUCGUAAAACUCUGUUGGUAGAGAAGAACGUUGGUGGGAGUGGAAAGCGCAUCAGGGGACGGAAACGACACAGAAGGGACGGCUAACUACGUG
rnacentral:rRNA from 1 species